UGUUGAUUCUAGCACAGACCCUCCAGACGGAGCGCCGUCCGUAGCCAGCUCUGUGAACAAAUCCAAUGAGGACAGUACCCAAGACACGCCUGCUACCUCUGUGGAGCAAAGCCCAGAGAUGAAAACCAAUGAAGAGCAGUCCAUCUCCGACGACACCUUGACAGAGUCCCUUAAAGAGCCAAAUGCAGACAACAGCAGCAGUAGCGCUGUGAUAGAGGAGGAUCCAAACGACACCUUCUCUAACAUUAGUCUCAACAGCCAAGUGUAAGACAGACAGGCCGGUCUCUUCCAUUGCGGUCCCACAGAAACAUGAUUGGAGAAAGGCUCUGCGAACUCCUAUGGUUGAAAUGACAAAGCGUUGCUCAGGUUAUCAGUGUAUGUCUUCUUAUAAACUGUUCAAGUUGUGCAGCAGAUUUCAGAAAGUUCUAGGCAGUUAAACCUUUUUUCAUAUCAAAAUACCACUUUUUGUAAUAUGGGAGAUUCAAGUAUUGUUUAUAUUAUCCGUUUGUACUUUUUUCCUCAAGUGUAUAUUAUGGUAUAGUGCUUAAUCUGUAAAUCAUGACGUGCAAGAGCACAAAGCUGGUGAUGAUCCAGCGUGUCAGCUGUAAAAAGAGACGUCACUGGAAAUAUCAUUACGUUGGUGCAGCAUGACAUCGGUUAGACGCCACGGAAGUGUUAUAUUCAUGAUCUGUGCAUAUCUAUAUGUUAUACCAAGGACCAAAUGAAAUGAUUUAACAUUUAUUGCAAACCUAUGCAUUAGCCUUCAAUCACAAUCUAGUCAUUGCAAUCCCAUAGAGCAAAUACCUACUGUAAAUACUUGGCAUAUGUAGAAUAUUCCAGUGGCGCAACAAUCCCCCAUUAACCAGGGUGAACUACCAAACAAUUUCAAGAGCAAAUGCGUGUAAAUAUGCAUAUUCGGAGACAAAUAAUAGCAAAAAAAGAAAAGAAAAGGGUUACAGUUACUGUUUAGCCCGCAUUGAAUUACAGCUACCGCACCGUCACUUCGACAGAGGCUUUUAGUUCACAGAUGUGUUACAUGAUCAUCAUCCCACGAGCUAUCAACAAGUCUAUCACCCAUUCUCUGGUGGUUGGUGAAAAUGGAAAAAUAAUCAAAAAUUACUUAAGCUUGCCAUCAGAGGUUUGUGAUCCUAGAAAGUGUGCAAAACAGUUCAAAACUGAGAGGUUCUGAGUGCUGAUCACGGUUUCCUCUUUCUGCACCAUCCACUGUCAUGACAAAUGGUCAACUGCGAUGUCUGUUAAGAUUGAUCUUUUAAAAUGUCUGUCAUACUGAACCAGUACUACCAUGCUCAUGUCAUUUAAAUGGUUUGAAUUAAAACGCUUCAUGUGUGGUGGUGUAGGUCCUUUCUUUGAAAUGAUUUGUUUUCCCAUACAAAAAAAGAGCUCUUCUUGCUUUUCUAGGUGCUCUAAAAAAA